rnacentral:lncRNA from 1 species
AAUUAUGAGAUAUACCCUUAUUUCAGAGAUGCGAAAAUGAGGUCAGAAAGUGCAUGUUAGUGUUGAUGAAAUAUGGGAAUGAGGACAUUAAAUAAGAUAAGCAGCACGCAGGUGGUAAAGAUCUAAAUUAAAUUAAAUCUUAUUGUCAUUUCACUAGAAACACAAAUGUCAUGCUAAGCUCUCAGAACAUUAUAGAGGAAGAGCGAUGGUAAGCAUUUUGAAUAUAUGCUUCCUCAAACAAUGGGCUAAAAUAUUUUAGUAAGAUUUCUGGGUAAAUUUGUUAGUAAUUAAGUGUGUGUACAUUUGAUUGAAAUGUGUUCUGAGACUCAGGGUGCCUAGGUGGGCCAGUGGCAUCUGACUCUUGAUUUUGGCUCAGGUCAUGAUCUCAGGGUUGCAGGAUUGAGUCAGCUUGCGCUAAAUGUGGAGCCUGCUUGGCACUCUCUCUCUCCCUCUGCUCCUCCCACCCUCUCUCUCUCUUAAAAAAAAAAAAAAAAAGAAAAAGAAAAAAAAAGUGUGUACUGAGAUUCUCUGUAUUUCCUUCCUUAGGUACUUUCACGGGAAUUGUGAUAUGUACUUUCUCUGACAGAUCACACUUGGGCCAGGCAGCAGAACCCACAGAAGCACCCCUGGCUGCUUUUGUAAGGAUCCUUUCCCUGAGAAGAGUUUUUUGUGUUUUGAUGAGGAUAAGGAGUAAAGUGCUAGUGAUUGAAAAGUGUGCCUUUCCUGCAGAAUUUCACGUCCAUCUGACUCUAGAAGUUCAAGAAAUGAAAACAAAUCAAUUGUUGACCUCAAGUUUUUCCAAUCAAGUCACACUUCAGAUGUCUUAACUCCAGUUUAGCAGCCAAUGGCUCAGAAAGAAAUAUUUUCUCCAGAAUGUUUUGUUCUGGAAAACAGGGUCAUUUAAACACUUGAUAACCCUGCUAAAGACUUAAGACAUUUGCAGCUUAUACACAGAUGAAAGGACUUUCAACCUUCUGAUAUUUAUGACCAUUUCAGCUGCGAAGAGAAGAAUACUUGCUUCAUUAAUUUUUUUUAAAGGAAUGUGUUACUUCACCACUGGGUUAGAAUGAACAUGGAUAUUUUCCCUGUAUUCCGUAAAGCCCUCACCCCUGAUGCUGACUGUGUACAAUCUACUGCUUCUCAAAAGUUAUUCAGCAAUAUACUAGACCUGUACACCACACUGCAAGGAAAGAAAGAUUUAGGUGGCCAAAUGGUUUGAAGACAUUGUGCAUUAUAGUCUCUUUCUCAAGAUUUUGUGUAAUUAAACACACCAAGAAGCAAUGCAGUAAAUAAAUAAACAAAAACCUUGUAGUUUAAUGUGAUAUCUCCCACAUGUCGUAGACCAUGAAAUAUUUUUUUAAAAAGACAUAUUCUGUUUUCACACCACUUUCUACUUUUCUUCCUCAUAAUAAUGUUUGUUCCUCUGUCGAUGGGGCAGAAAAUAAAAGGAAAAUAUCAAUAUAUGCUUAAUAAACUGCCUUAGCAAAUGGCUAUAAUUUCUGUGUGUUCUCGUCAUCUUUAUGUAAAACAGGUGCUGGCUCCAGGAACCACCCCACCCCACACCAUGAGGAACUGUC